UACGUAGGGUCCGAGCGUUAAUCGGAAUUACUGGGCGUAAAGCGUGCGCAGGCGGUUUUGUAAGCCAGAUGUGAAAGCCCCGGGCUCAACCUGGGAACUGCAUUUGAAACUGGCGGGCUUGAGUGUGGCAGAGGGGGGUGGAAUUCCGCGUGUAGCAGUGAAAUGCGUAGAGAUGCGGAGGAACACCGAUGGCGAAGGCAGCCCCCUGGGCCAACACUGACGCUCAUGCACGAAAGCGUGGGGAGCAAACAGG
rnacentral:rRNA from 1 species